UACGUAGGGUGCGAGCGUUUAAUCGGAAUUACUGGGCGUAAAGCGCGUGUAGGCUGCAAUAUAAAGUCGGAUGUGAAAGCCCUCGGCUCAACCGAGGAAGUGCAUCCGAUACUGUAUCGCUAGAGUGUCGGAGGGGAUGGCGGAAUUCCCGGUGUAGAGGUGAAAUUCGUAGAUAUCGGGAGGAAUACCAGAGGCGAAGGCGGCUACCUGGACAAUUGCUGACGCUCAGGCACGAAAGCGUGGGGAGCAAAAGGG
rnacentral:rRNA from 1 species